rnacentral:rRNA from 1 species
UACGGAAGAUGCGAGCGUUAUCCGGAAUUAUUGGGCGUAAAGAGUGCGUAGGUGGUUACCUAAGCAGGGGGUGAAAGGCACUGGCCUAACCAAUGUCAGCCCCCUGAACUGGGCUACUUGAGUGCAGGAGAGGGAAGUGGAAUUCCUAGUGUAGCGGUGAAAUGCGUAGAUAUUAGGAGGAACACCGGCGGCGAAGGCGACUUUCUGGACUGUUACUGACACUGAGGCACGAAAGUGUGGGGAGCAAACA